rnacentral:lncRNA from 1 species
AUGUACAUGGUGAUUAAGGAACUUAAAGAGCAUAAGAAACCUUAUUACAGAGCAAUAAAACCACCGGAUACCAUGGCCAAUUGGUGCCGCCCUGGGCAAAUGGUUGUUUUGAUCUUUCCUAGACUGGAUGCUAGAGAAAGCGAACUUGAGUGUGCUGAGUGGGUCUUAAAAAGUUGUAGGUGCCAAUUAAGAAGUACUCAUGACAGAACAGGCUGGUGGAGAGAAAAAGACAAUGCAGAGGAAAAAUGAACAAAACUGAUGAUGCUACUUGGCGAUUAAGUGACAAAGAGAAAAGUAAAACAGGAAAGUAAGAUUGAAAAUAUGGUGAGAGGAAUGUGGUGCUGAUUAGGAAGGGCUCUCUGAGGGUUGGCACUGGGUGUCAGCACAGCCUGUCCCAGGCUGUCAACAGUUGUAUUCCCAGGGAACAGAAUGUGGACUAAGUAGGGAGUGGCUCAGGAUCAACAACACCUGCUGAGGAAGAAGCAGCAGCCAAUGGGUGGAAGAAGUGGUUGGGCUGGAGUACUACAGAGCUCCAGCAAACCCAAUUUCUACCCACCCUGGAGCUGGAAUGACCCUUUAACUUGCUUGCCUAGCAAGUGUGAGGCCCUGAAUUAAAUCCCCAGUAGAGUCCUGGAGACAGCAAGUGCAAAGCUCCUGAGACAGAAUGAGCUAAGAACAUAGGAGACUAGUGUAGCUGAAGCUGUGUAAACAAAGGGGACAUUAGUAGAGAACAAAAUUAGAGGAACCAGUGUGGUGGUGCAACCUGUAAUCCCAGCAACUCGGGAGGUUGAGACAGGAGGAUCACAAGUUUAAAGCCAGCCGCAGCAAUAGCAAGAUAACUAAACAACUCAGUGAGACCCUGUCUCUAAAGAAAAUACAAAAUAGGGCUUGGGAUGUGGCUCUGGUUCAGUGCCACUGAGUUCAAUC